UCCUGGUUAACCCAGGCAGUCUCACUAGAGUCCCCGCCUUGACGCGUUGGCAACUAAUGAUAAGGGUUGCGCUCGUUGCUGGACUUAACCAAACACCUCACGGCACGAGCUGACGACAGCCAUGCAGCACCUAUAUAACAGUCCUUGCGGAAAUAACCAUCUCUGGUUACGUCUAUUACAUUUCGAGCCUGGGUAAGGUUCUUCGCGUUGCAUCGAAUUAAACCACAUGCUCCACUGCUUGUGCGGGCCCCCGUCAAUUCUUUUGAGUUUCACCCUUGCGAGCGUACUCCCCAGGCGGUAUACUUAUCGCGUUAGCUUCGACACAGUCAGGGUUGAGCCCAACUACAUCAAGUAUACAUCGUUUACGGCAAGGACUAC
rnacentral:misc_RNA from 1 species